GGGGGGUAUGGGGCUGGGCCCCGGAUGGUCUGCAAAACCAUAAACGCGCUCCCAAAGGGGGCCCGGUGGGUUCGAUUCCCACUACCUCCCUCCA
rnacentral:tRNA from 1 species